GCCCUGGUGGUGCAAACGGUUAAGCACUUGACUGCUAACCAAAAGGUUGAUGGUUUGAACCCAUCCAGUGGUU
rnacentral:tRNA from 1 species